rnacentral:rRNA from 1 species
GCCUAAUACAUGCAAGUCGAGCGAGCGGAACUAACAGAUUUACUUCGGUAAUGACGUUAGGAAAGCGAGCGGCGGAUGGGUGAGUAACACGUGGGGAACCUGCCCCAUAGUCUGGGAUACCACUUGGAAACAGGUGCUAAUACCGGAUAAGAAAGCAGAUCGCAUGAUCAGCUUUUAAAAGGCGGCGUAAGCUGUCGCUAUGGGAUGGCCCCGCGGUGCAUUAGCUAGUUGGUAAGGUAAAGGCUUACCAAGGCGAUGAUGCAUAGCCGAGUUGAGAGACUGAUCGGCCACAUUGGGACUGAGACACGGCCCAAACUCCUACGGGAGGCAGCAGUAGGGAAUCUUCCACAAUGGACGCAAGUCUGAUGGAGCAACGCCGCGUGAGUGAAGAAGGUUUUCGGAUCGUAAAGCUCUGUUGUUGGUGAAGAAGGAUAGAGGUAGUAACUGGCCUUUAUUUGACGGUAAUCAACCGGAAAGUCACGGCUAACUACGUGCCAGCAGCCGCGGUAAUACGUAGGUGGCAAGCGUUGUCCGGAUUUAUUGGGCGUAAAGCGAGCGCAGGCGGAAGAAUAAGUCUGAUGUGAAAGCCCUCGGCUUAACCGAGGAACUGCAUCGGAAACUGUUUUUCUUGAGUGCAGAAGAGGAGAGUGGAACUCCAUGUGUAGCGGUGGAAUGCGUAGAUAUAUGGAAGAACACCAGUGGCGAAGGCGGCUCUCUGGUCUGCAACUGACGCUGAGGCUCGAAAGCAUGGGUAGCGAACAGGAUUAGAUACCCUGGUAGUCCAUGCCGUAAACGAUGAGUGCUAAGUGUUGGGAGGUUUCCGCCUCUCAGUGCUGCAGCUAACGCAUUAAGCACUCCGCCUGGGGAGUACGACCGCAAGGUUGAAACUCAAAGGAAUUGACGGGGGCCCGCACAAGCGGUGGAGCAUGUGGUUUAAUUCGAAGCAACGCGAAGAACCUUACCAGGUCUUGACAUCUAGUGUCAUUUGUAGAGAUACAAAGUUCCCUUCGGGGACGCUAAGACAGGUGGUGCAUGGCUGUCGUCAGCUCGUGUCGUGAGAUGUUGGGUUAAGUCCCGCAACGAGCGCAACCCUUGUUAUUAGUUGCCAGCAUUAAGUUGGGCACUCUAAUGAGACUGCCGGUGACAAACCGGAGGAAGGUGGGGAUGACGUCAAGUCAUCAUGCCCCUUAUGACCUGGGCUACACACGUGCUACAAUGGGCAGUACAACGAGAAGCGAGCCUGCGAAGGCAAGCGAAUCUCUGAAAGCUGUUCUCAGUUCGGACUGCAGUCUGCAACUCGACUGCACGAAGCUGGAAUCGCUAGUAAUCGCGGAUCAGCACGCCGCGGUGAAUACGUUCCCGGGCCUUGUACACACCGCCCGUCACACCAUGGGAGUCUGCAAUGCCCAAAGCCGGUGGCCUAACCUUCGGGAAGGAGCCGUCUAAGGCAGGGCAGAUGACUGGGGUGAAGUCAUAA